CAAAAUAAACCAAACUAUACAUAAAAUUAAGCUACUACCUAAGCAUGUGCAAAACAGCCUAGUUCUCCCAAAAUACGUACAUUCAUCUAACAUAUUCACCGUUAACUCGAGGCUCUACAUAUAGAUGCUCACGUAAGUUACCCACUCAUCUCGUACUUCGUCCAUUUGUUAUUAUGUGUACGUUAAUCCACAUGCCUUAUCCCACUAAAAUAAAAUAACAACAAAUUUAGUAUUCAACAAAGAUACCAAAUCACAAGGAUACAAGUUAAGUUAAAGCGUGCAAUCAGAUUCAAAGAAGAAAAAACAAUUUUUGCAUCCAACUAAUGUAAAUAUUACAAAUUGAAGCUUUUCUUUUUUUUGGAGGUAACAACUUGAAGCCACUGAUGAUACUAAAAAUAAAAACUACCUGUUCUGACCAUCCUUCUCAACCAGUUUACAAGCAAGCCCAAAAUAGCAACAAGAAAGUACAAUUCAAUAAUAAUAUUGUACCAAAAAUAAUUUGGACCGAAGAAAUAAAUUUUUGUCAUGAAUAGUACCCCGGGUGAAUAGUACCCUAUGAAUAGUACUUUGGGAAUAGUACUUCAGGAAUAGUACCCCAUGAAUAGUACCUUAUGAAUAGUACUUAAUGAAUAGUACCCCGUAAAUAGUACAUUGUGAAUAGUACCCCGUGAACAGUACUUUGUGAAUAUUACCCCGUAAAUAGUACUCCGGCAUGAAAAGCUUAGAAUUUAACAAGAAUGUUCAGAGAAAAUAUCCUUGUGAAACGAUACUAGAUGAAGCACAAAUUUCAAGGAUAUUUUACUAAUUUCACGGAGUAUAGAAGCAAUACUUUAACAAAAUGGGUGUGAAAUUAGGAAUACGAAACGAAAUAAUAUUACUUACAUACUACAGAGUAUGGAAGAAAAUAUUAUUUCAUACGAGUAUUGAACAAAAAUAAUAUCCCUUGCCUUAGUAGAAGGCUAGAUAUUACAAUAGUGAAGUAGCAGAAUACUCUUCUUCUUUCUCUCUAUAGCUUCUCUCUCUAUAAUUGCUCUUGUGAGUCUUAGUGAAUUGGUGAGAAUGAAAGAAGAAUGAGCUUCUAUUUAUAGGAAAACAUAGUUUCGAUAAUUUCACAAUUAGGGGCUCAAAAUAUUAUAGUAAAGUACCACUAAAGUCAAUCACUGUCAUAUUAAGCCAUAGGUAUAGAGCCACGAGCCUUUCGCUGGUGACUUCCACGUCUUGGAAUGCACCGAAGCCAUACUCUUCGUAGGGGACGCCGUGAACAACGGUGGCAAGUUGAUAGGUAUCAAUGUGACGUGUUAUCCAAGUCUUGGAUGAGGGUCACAGUUUUGAAUGAUAUUUUUAUCGUUAAAAAAUUUCCUGACGUAUUCCCUGAAGAACUUCCUAGCCUACCCCCAGAGCGUGAAAUCGAAUUUUAUAUUGACCCCGGUACAAAACCCAUUUCUAAAACCACAAAUAUUUCUUCAACUAAAAUGAAUGUAUCAUGCGCCAAAGACGUUGGCUCGAGCUGUUGAAAGAUUACGAUAAUACCAUUCAAUACCAUCGUGGAAAAAGUGAACGUGGUAGCUUACGCGUUGAGUAGAAGAUCGUAUGCGAUUACGAGUGCGACGUCGUUAACACAAAGACCCAUUUUGUAUAAUUUACAAAGGAUGGAGAUAGAGUUAUAGACUACAAGAACCUACGUGAAGAUAGUGAAUAUACAAGUAGAAUCGACUUUAAUUAAUAAAAUUAAAGCCGCUCAAGGUACAGACUCAGAGCUAAUGAAUGUGAAGAAGAAGGUGCAAGGAGUUAUUCUAGAAGCAAGAAUCGAUGAAGAGAGGAAAUCUCAACCCUCGAUUUAAUUGGUCUAUUUGAAAUCCUCGAUCGAGUAGGAACUGUGGCCUAUAGACUUGCUUUACCGCUAAGUAUGUCGCGUGUUCAUAACAUUUUUCACGUAUCGAUGUUACGUAAAUAUGAGGAUGACCCGACACUACUACAAAAUAGUAAAUAGACAAAGCGAAAAAAACGUUGUGGUUUCUGUCAGAAAAACGUCGUGGUUAAGAGUGUUAUCUAUUUGACACCCUUACACAACGUUUUUAAAACGUUGUAGUUAAGCACAAUACACAACGUUUUUUAGAAAAAAAACGUUGUUGAUUUAUUUUUCAUAAAUUAGCAGAUGCUUAAAAACGUUGUAGAAGGUAUGAUUCCACAAUGUUUUUUGAAUAAAAAUGUUGUUGUUUAGUAUAUCAGACAUAGUUUUUUAAAUGUUGUAGAUAAAAAAGAAAAAAGAAAAAAAAAGAUGUUGUUCACCUACAUUACCAAUGCACCUGCAAUAUGCUAAAGCCAUGAUAUAUAGCCAAAAUGUAUCAACCAUUCAAAAUACAUCCCAAUAAUACCAUUCGUUUACAGUUUCAAAUUACUACAUCCACAAAAUAUAUACCAAAAUGUAUCCAUAUAUGCAUCUCAAAUUCACUUUUCAAUAUAAAUUAGUACUAUAUUGAAUUGUGAAUUUGAUUACAUGCAUCCACAAAAUAAACCAAACUAUCCAUAAAAUUAAGCUACUACCUAAGCAUGUGCAAAAAAGCCUAGUUCUCCCAAAAUACGUACAUUCAUCUAACAUAUUCACCGUUAACUCGAGGCUCUACAUAUAGCUGCUCACGUACGUUGCCCACUCAUCCCGUACUUCGUCAAUUUGUUCUUGUGUGUACGUUAAUCCACAUGCCUUAUCC
rnacentral:lncRNA from 1 species